CCAAUAGCGUAUAUUAAAGUUGUUGCAGUUAAAAAGCUCGUAGUUGAAUUUUAGGCCUGACCGGACGGUCCGUCUUUGGCGAGUACUGUUCUGUUGUCGGGUCUAUCCUUCUGGUGAGCCGGUAUGUCCUUUAUUGGGUGUGUCGGGGAACCAGGACCAUUACCUUGAAAAAAUUAGAGUGUUUAAAGCGGGCUUUUGCUUGAAUAGAUUAGCAUGGAAUAAUAGAAUAGGACGUUGGUUCUAUUUUGUUGGUCUAGGACCACCGUAAUGAUUAAUAGGGAUAGUUGUGGGCAUUAGUAUUCAAUUGUCAGAGGUGAAAUUCUUGGAUUUAUUGAAGACUAACUACUGCGAAAGCAUUUGCCAAGGAUGUUUUCAUUAAUCAAGAACGAAAGUUAGGGGAUCGAAGACGAUCAGAUACCGUCGUAGUCUUAACCAUAAACUAUGCCGACUAGGAAUCGGGCGACGUUAUUUUCAUGACUCACUCGGCGCCUUAUG
rnacentral:misc_RNA from 1 species